rnacentral:lncRNA from 1 species
CCAAAGCUAAUGUUCAUACAAUUAAUUGUUAUUGUAAUUUUAAUGAUGUAUGUAUGGUAAUUGGAGAUUAUUUUACACUUGUGUAGCUUACAAACAAGGCAAGUUCUCUAACUCUACUUUCAUAAUUGUGCAAGCUUCUAAACCUAAACUUUCAUUGAGCAAGACUAUUGAUUCUAUUUUUAUGUACAUUAAACAAGCUCAUGUAACCUAAUUCGUUACAUCAAAUGAGUUUUACAUUCUCAUUUAUUGUUAUUGUUAUUCAAAACAUAUAUUGUUC